rnacentral:rRNA from 1 species
CUACGGGUUGCACCAGCUAGGAAUCUUCUGCAAUGCACGCAAGUGUGACAGAGCGAGCCAGAGUGACUCUCUAUAAUUGAGAAUCUUUUAUGCGAUGCAAAAAGUCGCAUGAAUAAGGACUGGGUAAGACUGGUGCCAGCCGCCGCGGUAAUACCAGCGGUCCAAGUCGCAGCCUUCUUUAUUGGGUCUAAAACAUCCGCAGCUUGCUUCGUAAGUCUCUUGUGAAAUCUGGCUCCUUAAGGGUCGGGCGUGCAAGAGAUACUGCGGAGCUAGAGACUGGGAGACGUAAGAAGUACGCACAGGGUAACGGUUAAAUGUGUUGAUCCUAUGUGGACUAACGAUAGCGAAGGCAUCUUACGAGAACAGAUCUGACAGUGAGGGAUGAAGGCUAGGGGCGCAAAACGGAUUAGAUACCUUGUAGUC